UAGGGAAUCUUCGGCAAUGGGGGGAACCCUGACCGAGCAACGCCGCGUGAGUGAAGAAGGUUUUCGGAUCGUAAAGCUCUGUUGUUAAGGAAGAACGAGUGUGAGAAUGGAAAGUUCAUGCUGUGACGGUACUUAACCAGAAAGGGACGGCUAACUACGUGCCAGCAGCCGCGGUAAUACGUAGGUCCCGAGCGUUGUCCGGAUUUAUUGGGCGUAAAGCGAGCGCAGGCGGUUAGAAAAGUCUGAAGUGAAAGGCAGUGGCUCAACCAUUGUAGGCUUUGGAAACUGUUUAACUUGAGUGCAGAAGGGGAGGGUGGAAUUCCAUGUGUAGCGGUGAAAUGCGUAGAUAUAUGGAGGAACACCGGUGGCGAAAGCGGCUCUCUGGUCUGUAACUGACGCUGAGGCUCGAAAGCGUGGGGAGCAAACAGG
rnacentral:rRNA from 1 species